rnacentral:piRNA from 1 species
CCUAACGGCGUCUUCACUUGGCUUUCAGG